rnacentral:rRNA from 1 species
GACGAACGCUGGCGGCGUGCUUAACACAUGCAAGUCGAGCGGUAAGGCCCGUUUCGGGGGUACACGAGCGGCGAACGGGUGAGUAACACGUGGGUGACCUGCCCUCAGCUCUGGGAUAAGCCUGGGAAACCGGGUCUAAUACCGGAUAUGACUCCAUGACGCAUGUUGUGGGGUGGAAAGCCUUGUGCGGCUGAGGAUGGGCUCGCGGCCUAUCAGCUUGUUGGUGGGGUGANGGCCUACCAAGGCGACGACGGGUAGCCGGCCUGAGAGGGCGACCGGCCACACUGGGACUGAGACACGGCCCAGACUCCUACGGGAGGCAGCAGUGGGGAAUCUUGCGCAAUGGGCGAAAGCCUGACGCAGCGACGCCGCGUGAGGGAUGACGG